AACGAACGCUGGCGGCAUGCCUAACACAUGCAAGUCGAACGAGACCUUCGGGUCUAGUGGCGCACGGGUGCGUAACGCGUGGGAACCUGCCUUUAGGUUCGGAAUAACUCAGAGAAAUUUGAGCUAAUACCGGAUGAUGUCUUCGGACCAAAGAUUUAUCGCCUUUAGAUGGGCCCGCGUUGGAUUAGCUAGUUGGUGGGGUAAAGGCCUACCAAGGCGACGAUCCAUAGCUGGUCUGAGAGGAUGAUCAGCCACACUGGGACUGAGACACGGCCCAGACUCCUACGGGAGGCAGCAGUGGGGAAUAUUGGACAAUGGGCGAAAGCCUGAUCCAGCAAUGCCGCGUGAGUGAUGAAGGCCUUAGGGUUGUAAAGCUCUUUUACCCGAGAUGAUAAUGACAGUAUCGGGAGAAUAAGCUCCGGCUUACUCCGUG
rnacentral:rRNA from 1 species